UAAUUUUGCCACAGUAAUUUGAAAUUAAUCCCAACUGGAAGGUCAGCUGAGGUGGUUAGUUGGGUUUAAACUAGGAAAGGAAGGCCUUGAGUGUAAGCUGUGAGAAUGGCUUGUGUUUGGUUCACUGUAGCUUUCUGGUCUCUGCACUCCAAGGCAAGAUCUCUAACCACCCAAAACCCAAUGUGUAAAAUGAGCUGUUGGUUUGGCUUUGCACCUUACCUUGAUUAUGUGUUCCUGUUACAGGGAGAACAGAUCCCAUUCCAAUCGUUGUCAAGUAUGAUGUCAUGGGCAUGGGUCGCAUGGAAAUGGAGCUUGAUUAUGCUGAAGAUGCUACCGAACGGCGCCGUGUCCUAGAAGUAGAAAAAGAAGACACAGAAGAGCUGAGACAAAAGUACAAGGAUUAUGUUGACAAAGAGAAGGCAAUUGCCAAAGCCUUGGAAGACCUCAGAGCCAACUUUUACUGUGAACUCUGUGAUAAGCAAUAUCAGAAACAUCAGGAAUUUGAUAACCAUAUCAACUCCUAUGAUCAUGCACACAAGCAGCUGAUGUAUUGAAAGCAAAUCCUUCUAAUUUGGGAGCCCAGAUCACAAGAAGAUUAAAAGAUCUCAAGCAGAGAGAGUUUGCCCGAAAUGUCUCUUCAAGAUCCCGCAAGGAUGAGAAAAAACAGGAAAAAGCCCUUCGGCGGCUCCAUGAGUUGGCAGAGCAAAGAAAACAAGCUGAAUGUGCACCUGGAAGUGGUCCCAUGUUCAAACCAACCACGGUGGCUGUAGAUGAAGAAGGUGGAGAAGAUGAUAAAGAUGAAUCAGCUACAAAUAGUGGCACAGGUGCCGCUGCUUCUUGUGGCCUGGGAUCUGAAUUCUCCACAGAUAAAGGAGGCCCUUUCACUGCAGUACAAAUCACUAAUACCACUGGACUGGCCCAGGCUCCUGGGUUAGCCUCCCAAGGCAUCAGCUUUGGCAUUAAGAAUAAUCUGGGGACCCCAUUGCAAAAAUUGGGAGUGUCAUUUUCUUUUGCCAAGAAGGCUCCUGUCAAACUCGAAUCAAUAGCAUCGGUUUUCAAGGACCAUGCGGAGGAAGGGACCUCUGAAGAUGGAACAAAACCUGAUGAGAAGGGUUCUGACCAAGGAUUGCAGAAGGUAGGAGACUCUGAUGGGAGCAGUAAUCUUGAUGGUAAAAAAGAGGAUGAAGACCCUCAGGAUGGAGGGUCCCUUGCCUCAACAUUAUCCAAAUUAAAAAGGAUGAAACGAGAAGAAGGAGCUGGGGCUACAGAGCCUGAGUAUUACCACUACAUCCCCCCAGCACACUGCAAAGUAAAACCUAAUUUUCCCUUCCUACUUUUUAUGAGAGCCAGUGAACAAAUGGAAGGUGAUAAUACUACACACCCAAAGAAUGCCCCAGAGAAUAAAAAAGGCAGUUCUCCCAAGCCUAAAAGCUGCAUCAAGGCGGCAGCAAGCCAAGGAGCAGAAAAGACAGUUAGUGAAGUCUCUGAGCAGCCGAAGGAAACCAGCAUGACCGAGCCCUCAGAACCAGGAAGCAAAGCUGAGGCAAAGAAGGCCUUAGGAGGGGAUGUAAGUGAUCAGAGUUUAGAGAGUCAUAGUCAGAAGGUUUCAGAGACCCAAAUGUGUGAGUCCAACUCUUCUAAAGAAACCUCUCUGGCCACCCCAGCAGGGAAAGAAAGCCAAGAAGGACCCAAACAUCCUACUGGUCCCUUCUUCCCAGUUUUGAGCAAAGAUGAAAGCACUGCCCUCCAGUGGCCAUCAGAACUAUUAAUUUUCACCAAGGCAGAACCCUCCAUUUCAUACAGUUGUAACCCUUUAUAUUUUGACUUUAAACUUUCAAGGAACAAAGAUGCCAGAACAAAAGGAACAGAAAAACCAAAGGAUAUAGGAAGCUCCUCAAAGGACCAUCUCCAAGGCCUAGAUCCUGGUGAGCCAAAUAAAAACAAGGAAGUGGGCGGAGAGAAAAUAGUACGUUCCUCAGGAGGCAGAAUGGACGCACCUGCUUCAGGGUCUGCCUGUAGCAGCCUGAAUAAGCAGGAGCCUGGGGGUAGCCAUGGGUCUGAGACAGAAGACACAGGGAGAAGCCUUCUCAGCAAGAAAGAACGAUCUGGGAAGUCCCACCGGCACAAAAAGAAAAAGAAGCACAAAAAAUCCAGCAAACACAAACGUAAACACAAGGCUGACACAGAAGAGAAAAGCUCUAAGGCAGAGUCGGGGGAGAAAUCUAAGAAGCGCAAGAAACGAAAACGAAAGAAGAAUAAGUCAUCAGCCCCAGCAGAUUCUGAACGAGGACCCAAACCAGAACCCCCUGGGAGUGGCAGUCCUGCACCACCAAGAAGAAGGCGGCGAGCUCAAGAUGACUCCCAGCGGAGAUCCCUCCCAGCUGAAGAGGGGAGCAGUGGCAAAAAGGAUGAAGGUGGGGGUGGUAGCAGCUCCCAAGACCAUGGUGGGAGGAAACACAAAGGUGAACUUCCACCUUCAUCCUGCCAGCGAAGAGCAGGCACCAAACGGAGCAGCCGAUCUAGCCAUCGGAGCCAACCCAGUAGUGGAGAUGAGGAUAGUGAUGAUGCUUCCUCACACCGGCUGCACCAGAAGUCUCCAUCCCAGUACAGUGAGGAAGAGGAAGAUUCAGGCAGUGAGCAUUCCCGCAGCCGCUCAAGGUCUGGCCGGCGCCAUUCCUCACAUCGUUCCUCCCGGCGUUCUUACUCAAGUAGCUCAGAUGCCUCUUCAGACCAGAGCUGCUAUAGUAGACAGCGCAGUUAUUCUGAUGACAGCUACAGUGACUACAGUGACAGAUCACGAAGGCACUCCAAGCGCUCCCAUGACUCAGAUGACUCAGACUAUGCCAGCUCCAAACACCGAUCAAAACGGCACAAAUAUUCAUCUUCUGAUGAUGACUAUAGCCUCAGUUGCAGCCAGUCCCGAAGCCGAUCUCGGAGUCAUACCAGAGAGCGCUCAAGAUCCCGGGGCCGCAGCCGCAGCAGCAGUUGUAGUCGUAGUCGAAGCAAGCGGAGAAGCCGUAGCACCACAGCCCACAGCUGGCAACGGAGCCGGAGCUAUAGCCGGGACCGCAGCCGCAGCACCAGGAGCCCUUCCCAGAGAUCAGGCUCCAGGAAGGGAUCAUGGGGUCACGAGAGCCCUGAGGAGAGGCAUUCUGGGCGUCGGGACUUCAUUCGUUCUAAGAUCUACCGCUCCCAGUCCCCCCACUAUUUCCGAUCAGGCCGGGGAGAAGGUCCUGGGAAGAAAGAUGAUGGCAGAGGAGAUGACAGUAAAGCAACAGGUCCACCUUCCCAGAACAGCAACAUUGGCACAGGAAGAGGGUCAGAAAGUGACUGCAGUCCUGAAGACAAGAAUUCUGUCACUGCCAAACUGCUACUGGAGAAGAUCCAGUCAAGGAAAGUGGAGAGGAAACCUAGUGUGAGUGAGGAGGUGCAGGCCACCCCUAAUAAAGCUGGGCCCAAGCUCAAGGACCCCCCACAAGGUUACUUUGGGCCCAGGCUCCCCCCAUCUCUUGGCAAUAAGCCUGUCCUUCCACUGAUAGGGAAGCUCCCAGCUACCCGAAAGCCCAAUAAGAAGUGUGAAGAGUCUGGCUUGGAAAGGGGGGAAGAGCAAGAACAGUCAGAGACAGAAGAGGGGCCCCCAGGGAGUAGUGAUGCCCUAUUUGGGCAUCAGUUCCCUUCAGAGGAAACAACUGGCCCCUUAUUAGACCCACCCCCAGAAGAGUCAAAGUCUGAAGAAGCUACUGCUGAUCACCCUGUGGCUCCACUAGGCACCCCAGCACACUCUGACUGCUACCCUGGGGACCCAACCAUCUCCCAUAACUACCUCCCCGACCCCAGUGAUGGGGACACCCUGGAGUCCCUGGAUAGCAGCAGUCAGCCAGGCCCUGUGGAGUCCAGCUUGCUGCCUAUAGCACCAGACCUUGAGCAUUUCCCCAGUUAUGCACCUCCCAGUGGGGAUCCUAGUAUUGAGUCAACAGAUGGGGCUGAGGAUGCUUCACUGGCCCCCCUGGAGAGCCAGCCCAUCACCUUCACCCCUGAGGAGAUGGAGAAGUACAGCAAGCUCCAGCAGGCUGCUCAGCAACACAUCCAGCAGCAGCUUCUGGCCAAGCAAGUAAAGGCCUUUCCAGCCUCAGCUGCCCUGGCCCCAGCCACACCAGCCCUGCAACCCAUCCACAUUCAGCAGCCAGCUACAGCCUCUGCCACCUCCAUCACAACCGUUCAGCAUGCCAUCCUACAACAUCAUGCUGCCGCAGCUGCUGCCGCCAUCGGCAUUCACCCUCACCCCCAUCCCCAACCACUUGCCCAGGUGCAUCAUAUUCCCCAGCCCCAUCUGACCCCCAUUUCUUUGUCCCACCUUACUCACUCAAUCAUCCCUGGCCAUCCUGCCACCUUUCUUGCUAGCCAUCCCAUCCACAUCAUUCCCGCCUCAGCCAUCCAUCCUGGGCCCUUCACCUUCCACCCUGUCCCACAUGCUGCCCUCUACCCCACCCUACUUGCUCCACGGCCUGCUGCAGCGGCUGCCACUGCACUCCACCUUCACCCACUACUUCACCCCAUCUUCUCAGGUCAGGACCUGCAACAUCCCCCCAGCCAUGGCACAUGAGUUGGGGGAUGGGAUCCUAGGUAGGGCCAGGGGAGGAGAUCCAUAAAUGUUCCCUUGGGGGUGUUGAGCCGUUAAUACCAGCAAGUAGAAGCUGGGAUGGGCAGUGUCUGACAGCCAAAGAAUUGAGUUUUGGCUUGCAGGGGUGGGUUUAGAUUUGAAGUUUGCUUUCAGUUUACUAUCAGGGAUUUCUUUUUCCUGUCCUCCUCUCAAUUUGUCCCUCCCUCUUCUGUGUUUCUAAGCUAGGGAACACCAGUAAGUGCUACCCACCCCUCUGCAGCAACAUCUCCAAACUGUCAAGUUUAGAUAAUCCCCUCCUCCCUCUGCUUUUUUCCUCUGCUCUUCCCUUCUAUAAAUUUUAAAACAUUUUCCUCCCCUCUGGCCAGUGGGUUGUCACCAGAGCACUUGCUGUGGGCCCAUCUGGUCUUGCCUUCUCAGCGCCACAGGGAAGGCCAAGCUGUUCUAGUGGUGGAAGUGCCACCACUUUGGGGUAGUAUCUUUGACCAUCCUUGGUGACGUUAUGUUAUCCCAGGUGAGGUGGAAAGUGUCUCACCUGGAACCUGAUAUAACUCAGGCUGCAGUUCCAUCCAGUUCCCACAUCAACGGAGCCACACAUUUGGCACUGUUAUCCUGGUAUCCCUCAUCCCAGAAGAGGCAUCUCCAUAUCCCAGAAAAGAAGAUCCUAUCAUGAAUAAAAGCUGUGUGGAACACAGAGUUGCCCGUGUGCUUUCCCAGAGAGGAGCUCAUGUGUCUGAAGUGAAGGGUAUAUUUUCUUCUGUUGUGUUGAUGUUUCCUUCUUAAUUUAUAGGAUUUUUUUAAUGUAAAAAAUUGCACUGAACUCUAUAAACGUAAAUGCUGCUUUUUGUAGCUCAUAUAAAAAAGGUUCCAUAUUUGUAGUAUACUGCAAUAAUAUUUUUUACAUCCAGCUCUUUAAGUGAUCCUCGUUCUGGUGGCUUUGUGUAAAUAUGUUUGCCCUAGUUGAAUUAAGAAACUUUAAAGGUUAUAAAAUGAAAACGAAAAA
rnacentral:sRNA from 1 species